GUCGCUGUGGCGAAACCGGCAGACGCAGCAGACUUAAAAUCUGCUGGGGCGUAAUCCCCGUGCGGGUUCGAGUCCCGCCAGCGACA
rnacentral:tRNA from 1 species